CCUACGGGUGGCAGCAGUAGGGAAUCUUCCACAAUGGACGAAAGUCUGCUGGAGCAACGCCACGUGAGUGAAGAAGGGUUUCGGCUCGUAAAGCUCUGUUGGUAGUGAAGAAAGAUAGAGGUAGUAACUGGCCUUUAUUUGACGGUAAUUACUUAGAAAGUCACGGCUAACUACGUGCCAGCAGCCGCGGGAAUACGUAGUUGGCAAACGUUGUCCGGAUUUUUUGGGCGAAAAGCGAGUGCAGGCGGUUUAAUAAGUCUGAUGUGAAAGCUUUCGGCUCAACCGGGGAAUUGCAUCCGAAACUGUUGAACUUGAGUGCAGAAGAGGAGAGUGGAACUCCAUGGGUAGCGGUGGAAUGCGUAGAUAUAUGGAAGAACACCAGUGGCGAAGGCGGCUCUCUGGUCUGUAACUGACGCUGAGGCUCGAAAGCAUGGGUAGCGAACAGGAUUAGAUACCCGGGUAGUG
rnacentral:rRNA from 1 species